rfam:Prevotella sp. CAG:891 genomic scaffold, scf208
ACUUAAUGGGUAAGUGCUGUACGGUUUGCACCCUUCGAAUCCUCCAGGGCUUGACCGCAGCAAAGGUAGUCGGUGUCGCUACGCGAUACAGUCAGCUUACCCACCC